UGAAUAAUUCUAACAUAAGGCCAUUCAAAACCCAUAGUUUUAUUUGUAUUCCUUGACCCAAGCAACAUCAAUUCGUAGGUAUGAAGACAGUGGAGAAGAUUAACUAAUUAGACGGUUGAAGAUAAAAAGGAGAAUUCCUUUUGUAAUAGAUAAUUCCCCACUAAGAAUCCCGUGCAUCUUGUCCACGAAUCUAGCUACAUUGCUGACUCUUUUCUUCUUUCAGUCAAAUUUGGGUGUUCAAUCAUUCUCACUAAUUAAUUAGCUUUCAAGACGAGAAAAUGUCAAACCCAAUUCACCGAGCUAAUGACAAAAAGUCCCUAUGAAGACCUCACAAGAGAAGAAUUCUACAAGAAGCACCAAAUUCUUCACCAAGAAAGCUUCAUGUUCAACAAGAAGAACAUGAAAAUCUUCAGACAAUCUUGGCUUUCGGAUUCCACUUCUCAGCCAAAAGGGAUUGUAGCCAUGGUCCAUGGCUACUCCUCAGAAAGCAGUUGGCUCAAUGAGCUAACUGCUGUAGCCAUAGCCAAAGCAGGAUUCUUGGAUUUUGCACUCACAUGGGUUAGCUGGUCAUAUAUAUCACAAAUAUUCAAUAUGUUGUUAGUGAUUGCAUUAAGUUUUCUGACUCAGUCAAGGCUAGCAACCCUAAGUUGCCAGCCUUUCUAUAUGGUGAAUCACUAGGGGCAAUUUCAAUCCUUAUCUCUUUGAAGCAAGGGUAUGCAUGGGAUGGCUUGAUAUUAAGCAGUGCUAUGUGUGGCAUUUCACCAAAAUUUAAGCCCAUGUGACCCUAGAGAAACUACUUUUGGCGGCACUGUUUGCACCCACAUGGAAAGUGGUGAUCUCAAAGCCAGUCUCUAGAAGAUCAUACAAGGUAGAAUGGAAGAGAAGGUUGGUUGCCAACAACCCAAACCGCCGGAACUCAGGGAAGCUGGCGGCGGCAACUGCAUUAAAGUUUUUUGAGUGUUUCUGAGUACGUAAGGAUGCAUUGCUAUGACCUAAUUAUAGGUUCCAUUUGUAAUGGUGCAUGGGGAGGAUGAUUUUGUAUGUGAUUUUAGGUCAGCUAGCUUUGUGCAUGAAUCAGCUUCAAGCAAGGACAAGACAUUGAAGAUCUUUCCUGGUAUGUGGCAUGUAUUGAUUGGUGAGCCUAAGGAAAAUGUGGAGCUUGUAUUUGAGACUAUCCUGUCCUGGUUAGAAGAUCAUGCUGCCAAGGCUAAAAAAACCAAGACCACAACAAGUUAAUUACAAGUUCUUUGUUUUUGUUUCUAUCGAUAAUUAAAUUGAUAGAAAGGAAAUGUUAUCAUCACACAUAUACUUGGUAAAAUUAGUAUAUUUCCAGGAAAA